AGAGUUUGAUCAUGGCUCAGGGUGAACGCUAGCUACAGGCUUAACACAUGCAAGUCGAGGGGCAGCAUGUUGGUUGCUUGCAACCAAUGAUGGCGACCGGCGCACGGGUGAGUAACGCGUAUCCAACCUACCCUUGUCCAUCGGAUAACCCGUCGAAAGGCGGCCUAACACGAUAUGCGGUUCUCAGCAGGCAUCUAACGAGAACGAAAUGUGAAGGAGAAGGAUGGGGAUGCGUCUGAUUAGCUUGUUGGCGGGGUAACGGCCACCAAGGCGACGAUCAGUAGGGGUUCUGAGAGGAAGGUCCCCCANAUUGGAACUGAGACACGGUCCAAACUCCUACGGGAGGCA
rnacentral:rRNA from 1 species